GAUGAACGCUGGCGGCGUGCCUAAUACAUGCAAGUCGAGCGAAUAGACGAGGAGCUUGCUCCUCUGACGUUAGCGGCGGACGGGUGAGUAACACGUGGAUAACCUACCUAUAAGACUGGGAUAACUUCGGGAAACCGGAGCUAAUACCGGAUAAUAUAUUGAACCGCAUGGUUCAAUAGUGAAAGACGGUUUUGCUGUCACUUAUAGAUGGAUCCGCGCCGCAUUAGCUAGUUGGUAAGGUAACGGCUUACCAAGGCAACGAUGCGUAGCCGACCUGAGAGGGUGAUCGGCCACACUGGAACUGAGACACGGUCCAGACUCCUACGGGAGGCAGCAGUAGGGAAUCUUCCGCAAUGGGCGAAAGCUUGACGGAGCAACGCCGCGUGAGUGAUGAAGGUCUUCGGAUCGUAAAACUCUGUUAUUAGGGAAGAACAAAUGUGUAGGUAACUAUGCACGUCUUGACGGUACCUAAUCAGAAAGCCACGGCUAACUACGUG
rnacentral:rRNA from 1 species